GACGAACGUGUGCAAACGUUAUUCGGAAUCACUGGCUUAAAGGGGUGCGUAGGCGGUCUUGUAAGUAGGGUGUGAAAGCCCCCGGCUCAACCGGGGAACUGCGUCCUAAACUGCGAGGCUAGAGUGAGGUAGGGUGUGUGGAACGUUCCAGUGGAGCGGUGAAAUGUGUUGAUAUUGGAAGGAACGCCGGUGGCGAAAGCGACACACUGGACCUUGUCUGACGCUGAGGCACGAAAGCCAGGGAGCAA
rnacentral:rRNA from 1 species